GAUGAACGCUGGCGGCGUGCCUAAUACAUGCAAGUAGAACGCUGAAGCUUGGUGCUUGCACCGAGCGGAUGAGUUGCGAACGGGUGAGUAACGCGUAGGUAACCUGCCUCUUAGCGGGGGAUAACUAUUGGAAACGAUAGCUAAUACCGCAUAAAAGUCGAUAUCGCAUGAUGUUGAUUUGAAAGGUGCAAUUGCAUCACUAAGAGAUGGACCUGCGUUGUAUUAGCUAGUUGGUGAGGUAACGGCUCACCAAGGCGACGAUACAUAGCCGACCUGAGAGGGUGAUCGGCCACACUGGGACUGAGACACGGCCCAGACUCCUACGGGAGGCAGCAGUAGGGAAUCUUCGGCAAUGGGGGCAACCCUGACCGAGCAACGCCGCGUGAGUGAAGAAGGUUUUCGGAUCGUAAAGCUCUGUUGUAAGAGAAGAACGAGUGUGAGAGUGGAAAGUUCACACUGUGACGGUAACUUACCAGAAAGGGACGGCUAACUACGUGCCAGCAGCCGCGGUAAUACGUAGGUCCCGAGCGUUAUCCGGAUUUAUUGGGCGUAAAGCGAGCGCAGGCGGUUAGAUAAGUCUGAAGUUAAAGGCUGUGGCUUAACCAUAGUACGCUUUGGAAACUGUUUAACUUGAGUGCAGAAGGGGAGAGUGGAAUUCCAUGUGUAGCGGUGAAAUGCGUAGAUAUAUGGAGGAACACCGGUGGCGAAAGCGGCUCUCUGGUCUGUAACUGACGCUGAGGCUCGAAAGCGUGGGGAGCAAACAGG
rnacentral:rRNA from 1 species